CCAGGGCCACCAAACUCGGUGGAGACCUGGAGGGGGUCGAGACAUGUAUACACACCAAGUUUGGUAAGCUUGGGACUUACACUUUGGAAGUUACGGAGCUCGGGUCGUUUUUUUUUUGAAUGGGUGUCAAUGGCAGCUAUGUGAA